rnacentral:miRNA from 10 species
CUGGUUUCAAGUGGUGAAUAGA